rnacentral:lncRNA from 1 species
UUUUGUAUUUAGUAGUAAUAUUAUUUCAUAAAUUGAGACCACAAGACUAUUCAAUUUUGUCUGGGGCCCACAUAUGUGCCCAUUUUUUCCUUUUCAGAUUGACCUACGGUGGAAAUUGGGUAGUGUGCAGUGGACACACAAGUCACAACGGACAUUGAUGUGACUUUUAAAUUUUAGCCUAAAUAGGUCUUAUCGAACAACGAGAUAAGAGGAAAAGAAGUAAACCUCAGGAGGAGCCUUAGGUUGGAUAUAGUAGGUACGAGGAGGUGAAGAUGUAGGCCAAAAAAUGAGGAGAGAUUAUUGGACGUGACCUUA